ensembl:lncRNA
GGACAACUUUUGUAUGCAUCUUCCAGCAUAAAACACCCUUGAGAAAAAAUAGAAGGCAAGCUAAAAGACAAAGGACCACUAAAGAUUUUAUUAUGCUAUGGGUGUGGUGCCAUAAAUUUUAGGAGAUUCAGGCAAGAGUUGCCAAGCCUGAAUUUAAACAGCAUGUUGUUUUUAAAAGUUGUAACAUUAGUGACGAACAAGUCCGUAUUCUUACAUAAUUAAUCCAGUGUGAAAUAGAGUGACUGGAAGACAUCCAGUGGUUUAAAAAUAACUCAAUCAUUUAUAAGAUCCACAGCGCUAUAGGAUUUAACAUUAAGGCACAGGAAGUGAAGGCAUCUUGGUACGGAGCAUGCUGUUUUAAUUCCACAAAAGCUUUGUGAAUUCGGCUUAACGGAGCUCCCUGCACAACAGCCCUGUGCCACGCAGAAGCAAGGGAGGUUCCUCUCAAGUGGUCACAGGUUUAACGUCUGGGUUUUUGUCAGCGGGAUUUGAUUUCAUUUUUCCUCUCUCCACCAUUUGGAGAAGCCUUUGGCUGGAGAUAUUAUAAAAGAGAUGGUUUUUUUUUUUUUUUUUUUUUUUUUUUUAAUGGUAACGCUUAACUGGAAAGACUGGGAGGAAGACAAAGCUACACAGGGACCAAAGGAGUGUCUUCAGAUGAAAUGUAAUCAUGUGACUCAAGGCAGAAGCAGGCAAGACGUCUGGAAGGGACUUGAACAUUUAUGCCUCAGUGCUGCUGCUUGACUUCCUCCAGAGAAGGGAGAGCAUGCUUGGAUGUUUGCCAAAAGGGAGAUCACAGUUCUUUCUAAUGCAGACCUUGCAAGGCCUAGCACAAGGCAAAGACACUUGAGCACUGGAAUAGUUUCUUGGAGACUCUGAUGGCUCUUCUGCAUAUGAUGCACAAGAGAGAUACCAAGAAAGAACAACAGUAAGUUUAUCUCAGCUUAGCGAAAAGGAACCAGAGAAGUGCUACACCUGCAGGACCAGGAGAAAUCCCCCCUUCCACAAGGAAGAGCUUUAUGCAUUUCCCAUCCCUUUAUGAAAGACACGCACAUGGGAGCAGAAGAAAACACUGAAACUACUGCUUUAUCCUGGCUCCUGGACUGAUGGGUGAAUCUGCUGCCAGUUUAACAUGGACUCAGAUUCCAGAAAAUAUCCUAAAAGAAAGGGUAGCAGAGAUUUCCAUCAACUGUCCCCAACACCAAAGGGUAAACAUCCCUUUGACCCAAGAGAGCAUUUCACAUGAAGAAGGAGUUCCAAUAUAUAGACUGCAGGGGAGAGAUUUUGUUCCCUUGCUUUCAGACAGAAGUAGAAAAACCAGAGAUAUGUGCAAAAAUACAAAAACUUUUAUGACCUAUGAUGUGGUUCAUAAACUUGUUACAUUUCAUUUUACCCAACACAAGCGGGAAGCAACAGGGAGAACUACAUCUGAGUUUAUUACCUGAUCAUUUUAGCCAUUAACAUUACCCUGUGAAAAAGGCAGC